GUCGAGAACCAGGAAGGAGAAAAGGGGGAAACCCCUUAUCAUCACAAAAUUCACCAAAUUGAAGCCCUAAAUGUGAUCCUAAGUUCGUGCAUGUCUUGAUUUUAGAUCAUCUACGCAUUCUUGAACACAAGGAAUAAAAGAAGAAGGUUCAAACCGUUCCGGAUCGCAAGCAAAUAGCGACAAAGGUAAAGCAACUUGUUAAUGGCGCUACUUGGAUCGAACACACUCAAGAUGCACGCUUCCGCAAAGAUCCUAGCUAUGGUUUAAACUUUUGUUAAGUGAUGUCUUUUGUUAAAAACGGGUCUUUUGUAAGUAACUUAACCC